rnacentral:SRP_RNA from 1 species
GCUGGGCAUGGUGGUGCGUACCUAUAGUCCCAGCUACUCGGGAGGCUGAGGUGGGGGGAUUGAUUGAGCCCAGGAGUUCUGGGCUGUAGUGCACUAUGCCGAUCAUGUGUCCACACUAAGUUCGGCAUCAAUAUAGUGACCUCCCGGAAGCGAGGACCACCAGGUUGCCUAAGGAGGGAUAAACCGGCCCAGGUCAGAAAUGGAGCAGGUCAAAACUCCCAUGCUGAUCAGUGGGAUCACGCCUGUAAAUAGCCACUGCACUCCAGCCUGGGCAACAUAGUGAGACCCCGUCUCU